rnacentral:rRNA from 1 species
ACGUAGGGCGCAAGCGUUGUCCGGAAUUAUUGGGCGGAAAGAGCUCGUAGGCGGCUUGUCACGCCGGGCGUGAAAGCCCGGGGCUUAACCCCGGGUCUGCAUUCGAUACGGGCUAGCUAGAGUGUGGUAGGGGAGAUCGGAAUUCCUGGUGUAGCGGUGAAAUGCGCAGAUAUCAGGAGGAACACCGGUGGCGAAGGCGGAUCUCUGGGCCAUUACUGACGCUGAGGAGCGAAAGCGUGGGGAGCGAACAGG